rnacentral:rRNA from 1 species
CCAAAUGGAAUUCCGAAAGUAGCUGCGAGCGAAACCGGAUAGAGCUCACCAUACACACUUUAGUUGUCACGACUACUAAGUUAUUUGACCUACGAAAAGUCAUAUUCAAUACGUUGCGUGGCGUAAGUCUUCCUGAGUGGAGCUGUUACACCAGAGAGGGUGCAAGCCCCGUAUCUUGCCACCACAAAAAAAACGUAUCGAAUGUGACUUUUCGUGAGUCAGCUUGCUUGGUAGUGCAAUCUAAAUUGCAUGGUAAACUACACUUAAGGCUAAAUACGGCCAAAAGGCCGAUAGCAUACAAGUACCAUGAGGGAAAGUUGAAAAGCACUUUGAAGAAAGACUUAAAUAAUACGCGAAACCGUAUAGCGGUAAAUCGGGUGGGCCCUCGAAUUCCGAAAUGGAAUAAUUCAAAUUUCGUUCUCUCCUCGAUCGGCAAUUUAUUUUUUUCGUUAUAUUUUCGUACCUCGGUACGAUAUAUGAUGGAUAAAUAAUUGUUGGGUAGCGACUGGAAAGAGCAAAGUUGCAAUUUAUUCCAUAGUAGGGCGUUGCAACCAGUAAGGUGGUGCCAGAGUGUUUAUAAGAAUUAUUAUCGGAGGUAGCUGCUGCUGCUGCUUUUUUCUCUUUAGAGUUUUAAGUAGUAGUAGUAGUAUUUUCUAACGUUAUAAUUCGAAUAAAUGCUACCUUACUGUGGUAAAACAAGAAGAAACACUCUCAAUAUGCGCGAAAUAACCAGAAGAUUGUGAUUAUAUUAUACUCGUUCACAUGUAUUUGCGGACUUGUAUCGAUAUAAUGUGCAAUUGGUCGCUGGCUAUAUAUUUUGAGCUGAGUGUGAUAACUUCUGUUGCGACGAGUAGAUCGGCUUCUCACCCGACCCGUCUUGAAACACGGACCAAGGAGUGGAACAAUUACGCGAGUCAAAGAGUCUAGCAAACUCAACGGCGAAAUGAAAUGUGAAAGCAUAUGUGCAUAUGUAAGACGUGAUCUUGGUUGAAUAUUUAUAUAUAUUCUUCUAAGCGCAACGUCGGCCCGUUUAUAUAAGAUAUAUAUGUAAAAAUAUAUAUCUUUAAGCGGAGCAUGAGCGUAAUUGUUCCGACCCGAAAGAUGGUGACCUAUGCCUGAGCAAGAUGAAGCCAGAGGAAACUCUGGUGGAGGUCUGAAGCGAUUCUGACGUGCAAAUCGAUCGCAAGACUUGGGUAUAGGGGCGAAAGACUCAUCGAACCAUCUAGUAGCUGGUUCCUUCUGAAGUUUCCCUCAGGAUAGCUGGUACCGGUUAUAUUAGUCUCAUGCGGUAAAGCGAAUGAUUAGUGGAUUUGGGGACGAAACGUCUUCAACCAAUUCUCAAACUUUGAAUGCGUGAUAAUGGCUGGACUUACUUGUCGUGAAGUCCCAAUAGCCCUGAUAUAUCGGUACUCAGUGGGCCAUUUUUGGUAAGCAGAACUGGCGAUGUGGGAUGAACUGAAAGUUGAGUUAAGGUGCCCGAUGCUAUAACGCUCAUGAGAACCCACGGAAAGGUGUUAGUUGCUUAAGACAUCAGGACAGUGGCCAUGGAAGUUGGAAUCUGCUAAGGAGUGUGUAACAACUCACCUGACGAAGCAACUAGCCCUGAAAAUGGAUGGCGCUUUAGCGUUGAACCUAUACUCAACCACUGCAGGCAAAUGAGAGUAGCGUCCAUUAUGUCUCAGUGUGUAAGAAGGCCGCAAUGGUAGCAUUGAAGCGUCUAACCGUAAGGUUGCGUGGAGCUUCCAUUGGUGCAGAUCUUGGUGGUAGUAGCAAAUACUCANNNNNNNNNNNNNNNNNNNNNNNNNNNNNNNNNNNNNNNNNNNNNNNNNNNNNNNNNNNNNNNNNNNNNNNNNNNGGUNAGUCGGGUCUGAGGGGUAAGGUUAACGCCUUUACUAGCUGUUAAAGUAAACAGUCACCCCGAAAGGGAAUCAGGUUAAAAUUCCUGAGCCUGGUCACGGAGAUUUGCUGCUUCGGCAGCCAGCGCGGUAACGCAAACCAUCUGGGUAACGUCGUUAAGAGUCCUGGGGAGAGUUUUCUUCUCUUUUUAAGUGCUGUACGGAUCCAUGGAAAAGGUUCGCCCUGAGAUAUGGAUGUACUCACAUAAAGUUAUGCGUCUCUCGCAUAAUCCGGUACGCUCUUAUCGACCCUUGAAAAUACCCAGUACGGUGAGUUAUUUUCGUGCCAGACCGUACCCAUUUCCGCAUCAGGUCUCCAAGGUGAACAGCCUCUAGUUGCUGGAACAAUGUAGAUAAGGGAAGUCGGCAAACCAGUACCGUAACUUCGGGAUAAGGAUUGGCUCAUAAAGCUGGAUUGGUCGGGCGAAGGAUUGAAGUUUGUAUGUUACCUCAGCAGGACUGGGCAACGCUCAUAUGUAUAUAUGAGAUAGUCCGGACCAGCGAUGGUAACUACUUACGGAGAUCUUUCGUUUUUUUUUGUUUCAUGCUCUUCUGAGUCUCUGUUCAAGGCUCAGUUGGUCCGUGGAACAAAAAAUUCGGCCAAU